rnacentral:rRNA from 1 species
AAUCAACGCUGGCGGCGUGCCUAACACAUGCAAGUCGAACGCGAAAGGGGAGCAAUCCCUGAGUAGAGUGGCAAACGGGUGAGUAACACGUGGGUGACCUGCCUUCGAGUGGGGGAGUAACGUACCCGAAACGGGACGCUAAUACCGCAUGACAUCCUGCUCUUGGAAGAGCGGAGAUCAAAGCUGGGGAUCNCAAGACCUGGCGCUUGAAGAGGGGCCCGCGCCUGAUUAGCUAGUUGGUAGGGUAAUGGCCUACCAAGGCAACGAUCAGUAUCCGGCCUGAGAGGGCGGACGGACACACUGGGACUGAGACACGGCCCAGACUCCUACGGGAGGCAGCAGUGGGGAAUUGUUCGCAAUGGGCGCAAGCCUGACGACGCAACGCCGCGUGGAGGACGAAGAUCUUCGGGUCGUAAACUCCUGUCGAGUGGGAAGAAUGGAUCAGGGGUGAAUAAUCCCUAGUAUUGAC